rnacentral:rRNA from 1 species
UGCCAGCCGCCGCGGUAAUACGGGGGGAGCAAGCGUUGUCCGGAAUCACUGGGCGUAAAGGGCGUGUAGGCGGGUUUGUAAGUCAGAUGUGAAAUCCUACGGCUCAACCGUAGAGGGCCAUCUGAAACUGCAGAUCUUGAGUUCGAGAGAGGGUGAUGGAAUUCCCGGCGUAGCGGUGAAAUGCGUAGAUAUCCGGAGGAACAUCAGUGGCGAAGGCGGCUGCCUGGCUCAAUACUGACGCUGAGGUGCGAAAGUGUGGGGAGCAAACAGGAUUAGAUA